CUUUUAUAUCAUUGACUCAAAGUUUGCUGAGGAACAAGUCCAGGCAAGUCCUGGGCAAAGGCAGAGGAAUCUUUUGUCUUGAGGACACUGAUGGACAGGUCCUGGCUAAGGAUUGUGAAAUCCUUUAAGGAGCACAGAUGGACAAGGCCAGGGGCAUCGAGAGAGAGAUAAGCUGCCGCUAAUGGCCGGGAAACGGUCUUUUUGUGUGGACUUAUCUCAAGGAAAAUGGCCAUCUCAGGAGGUAUGCACAGGACUCUUGCUCAAGCCCCCAGGAAUGUCACGUAGGCAGCAGAAAAUGGAGGAUAAAAGAGGGUCCAAUAACCACAACGGUGGAAGCUGAUCCUUCACCACAACCACGGCAACGGGAGAGGCUUAUCUCUCACCACGACAGACUUGAGGGGUUCUCUCUGCCAACUGAUCUCUCACCGCAACGUGGAGACGGAUCUCUACGUGGAGACUGAUCUCUCACCACGGCACGAGCUUCCUGCCUUCCGAUCCUCCUCUACGGACCGUUUGCUGACGGACUUCCCUGGGCCUGCUACCUGAGACCUGCUGCUUCCUCCCCGACCUGCACCCUCUCGUUGCCCAAGACCGGCCUCGCUGCUCCUGCCCUUCGGCCUCGGACCGUCGGAACGUCGUGCAACGGGACUGCUGCCGGAUCCUGGUGAGAAGUGGGAUUCAUCCUUACACAGGUGUAGCUAUGUAGCAAGGAACACAGGUAUCAAAUAAUAAGGGAGAGCCAUUGGGAAGAAAUGCAGAUAUGUUGACUGGACUCUUGCCUGACCCAACCUGAAUGAUGUUCCUUGGAGAAGCUUUGACCAAAAAUAUGCAUCCCAUUGUAAUCAUCUUACAUGGAGGAUGGAUGCUGUGGCAUGUUUAUUUGCUAAAUCAUUUAAAAAAUUUUUUUUUAGUCUACUGUGUAUUUUUCCAAGAGUAAUAAGCUGCCCUUUGUCAUUAACACCAUUUCAAUGGCAUGUACUACAUUUACAAGUGCAAAGCUCUUUCCCUUUGUACAAAAGAUGAUGCCACCCCUUACAUACAGGGAGCUGAUUGUCUACUGCCCAACGUGUUGUAGUUAUGUACAUUUAGAUAAGGCAUAACAUUACAGUAAUUUACAGUAAACAUGUUCUAAAGGAAUUUUG
ensembl:lncRNA